rnacentral:rRNA from 1 species
GAGUAAGUGACUAAGGGCGCACGGGGGAUGCCUAGGCUCUCAGAGGCGAGGAAGGACGUGAUAAGCUGCGAAAAGCCACGGGGAUCGGCCAAUGCGAAACGAUCCGUGGAUAUCCGAAUGGGGCAACCCAGUCCGCCAUCGGCGGACUAUUCCGUAAGGAAAGCGAACGUGGGGAACUGAAACAUCUAAGUACCCAUAGGAGGAGAAAAUAACAAUGAUUCCGUGAGUAGUGGCGAGCGAAAGCGGAGGAGCCCAAACCGUGCCUGUUACGGCAUGCACGGGGUUGUAGGACCUGUAUGAUCAAUGACGACGCGACGGGAACGGCAUGGGAAGGCCGACCACAGGGGGUGAGAGUCCCGUACUGGAAGCGUGGUUUGCGAGACGGGUAUCCUGAGUAGGUCGGGACCGGAGAAAUCCCGAUUGAAACUGCCGGCACCAUCCGGUAAGGCUAAAUACUCCUGAGAGACCGAUAGUGGACGAGUACCGUGAGGGAAAGGUGAAAAGUACUCCGAAUAGGAGGGUGAAAUAGAACCUGAAACCGUGCGCUUACAAGCGGUCGGAGCCACGCGAUGUGGUGACGGCGUGCCUUUUGCAUAAUGAGCCUACGAGUUACUCCUCUCCGGCAAGGGUAAGGCAUUCAGUGCCGCACCCGGAGCGAAAGCGAGUCUGAAAGGGCGCUUGAGUCGGAGGGGGUAGACGCGAAACUUAGUGAUCUACCCAUGGCCAGGUUGAAGGUUGGGUAAAACCAACUGGAGGACCGAACCGAUAAGCGUUGAAAAGCUUCCGGAUGAGCUGUGGGUAGGGGUGAAAGGCUAAUCAAACUGAGAAAUAGCUCGUACUCCCCGAAAUGUUUUUAGGAACAGCGUCGGGAAUUGUAUGGCGGAGGUAGAGCUACCGAUAGGACUAGGGGGAGUCACAUCCUACCAAAUCCUGACGAACUCCGAAUGCCGCCAUACAGAACCGGCAGUGAGGGCUGGGGUGCUAAGGUCCCAGUCCGAGAGGGAAAGAACCCAGACCUUCCGCUAAGGUCCCCAAAUCCAGAUUAAGUUGAACAAAGGUGGUCCAGUUGCAGAGACAGCCAGGAGGUUAGCUUGGAAGCAGCUAUUCCUUUAAAGAGUGCGUAACAGCUCACUGGUCGAGCGACAGGGCGUCGAUAAUAAUCGGGCAUCAAAUCUGGUACCGAAGCGAAGGAUUCCGCCCCAGGCGGAGUGGUAGGGGAGCAUUCCAACGGCGGCGAAGGUAUACCGUAAGGUGUGCUGGAGCUUUUGGAAAAGCAAAUGUAGGCAUAAGUAACGAUAAGGCGGGCGAGAAACCCGCCCACCGUAAGACCCAGGUUUCCUGAUCAACGUUAAUCGGAUCAGGGUUAGUCGGGACCUAAGGCGAACCCGAGAGGGGUAGUCGAUGGACAACGGGUUAAUAUUCCCGUACUGGUUAUACAGGCAAUGGAGUGACGGAGUGAUGAAAGAUCCGCGCGGUGACGGAAUACCGCGUUGAAGCCGGUAGGUAUUGGUUUGAUAGUUAAAUGCGUCAGACUAGCCGAAGGUGAUAGUACCG